rnacentral:lncRNA from 1 species
UAUAAAUUAAAGAAAGGGACAAAAAUAUUAGAAGCAGUAUAUUAUUUAGGAGCCCUUAAUUGUAUAACCACAUGAAUAAUAUUUUUCUAUAUGAAUAAUAUUUUUGUCUUACGACUAAUUCGUCUUUUGUGCUGGGCACCUGGUAGUAAAUAAUAUUACUACCCUUCUUGCUUAUAUAUAUAUAUAUAUAUGUAUGUAUGUACAUAUAUAUAUAUAUAUAUGUAUGUAUAUAUAUAUAUGUAUAUAUAUAUAUGUAUGUAUGUAUAUAUAUACAUAUAUCCAUCCAUCAUUAUAUGUAUGUAUGUAUAUAUAUAUAUAUAUAUAUAUAUAUAUAUAUAUAUAUAUAUAUAUAUCCAUCCAUCUAUCUAUCUAUCUAUCUAUUCAUCCAUCUAUCUAUCUAUGUAAAUAUAUAUAUAUAUAUAUAUAUAUAUAUAUAUUCACACAUACACACACACACACACACACACACAUAUCUUGUUGCGAACUACCAUUGACUCUUGCAAGUCAUAGAUGUCACACGUCACUGAUUUCUUCUUUAUUUGUGUAAAAUGAUGUCAUUUUGGGAAAUUUUGUUUCUAUUUUUAUUAGAUUGAAUAGAUAGAUAGACAUAUAUAUAUAUAUAUAUAUAUAUAUAUAUAUAUAUAUAUAUAUAUAUGCGUAUAUUCUUUUUUUCUUUUAUUUGUUACGGUCAUUUGACUGCGGCCUUGGUGGAGCACCACAUUAAAUCGAGAAAUCGACCCCAGGACCAAUUCUUUGUAAGCCUAGUGUUGAUCUAUCAGUGUUUUUUGCACAGUAAUUUAAUACCCUUAUUUUUUUAUUCAUGCACCCUUUUCAAGCCUAUCCAGGCAUAUGGGCCCGGUUUCCCAGUUUCUGUGGCAUACGUGUACAACAGGGGUCACCCUAUUAGGUAUUCUGAUUGUAUCAAAAUGAGUGAAGUUUUAAAUAACAUUAACAAUUUCGUGAACUUUCUUUAAAAUCCUGAUGGAAUUCUGGUUUAAGCAUACGAUAAAACCACACAUAACCCCAUUUUGGGGAAUUUUCAGAACUUGUGUGUGUGUGUAUAUAUACACAUAUAUAUAUAUACAUAUAUAUAUAUACAUAUAUAAUAUAUAUAUAUAUACAUAUAUAUAUAUACAUAUAUAUAUAUACAUAUAUAUAUACAUAUAUAUAUACAUAUAUAUAUAUAUACAUAUAUACAUAUAUAUAUAUAUAUAUAUAUAUACAUAUAUAUAUAUACACAUAUAUAUAUAUACAUAUAUAUAUAUAUACAUAUAUAUAUAUACAUAUAUAUAUACAUAUAUAUAUAUACAUAUAUAUAUACAUAUAUAUAUAUACAUAUAUAUAUAUACAUAUAUAUAUAUACAUAUAUAUGUAUAUAUAUAUACAUAUAUAUAUAUACAUAUAUAUAUAUAUAUAUAUAUAUAUAUAUAUAUAUAUAUAUAUAUAUAUAUAUAUAUAUAUAUAUAUAGGAGUUGACACUUCUAUAGUAGUUAAGGCAAUUAGAAGCAUGAAGACAGGGAAAGCCCCAGGCCCAUCAGGUAUCACUGAAGCGAUGCUCAAGAUAUCUGGUAGUGUCGGCUAUAGCCUAGUCACCCGUAUAUUUAAUCAGGUGAUACACGAAUGAGUCAUACCCAAUGACUGGUGUAGCAACAUAAUAGUCAACUGCUACAAAGGUAAAGGUUUUGCCCUAGAUACAAGUAAUUACAGAGGUAUCAAGCUGUUGGAUCAGGUGAUGAAGGUUACAGAGAGGGUCAUAACCCAACUAAUUAGAGAGAGAGUUAGUUUAGAUGAGAUGCAGUUUGAGUUCGUGCCAGGGAAAAGUACCACUGAUGCUAUAUUCCUGGUAAGGCAGCUGCAGGAGAAAUACCUAGCCAAAGAUAAGCCCCUGUACCUGGCUUUUGUUGACAUGGAGAAAGCCUUUGACAGGGUCCCCUGAUCCCUUGUCUGGUGGUCAAUGAGGAAACUAGGGAUAGAUGAAUGGUUAGUGAGAGCUGUGCGAGCCAUGUACAGGGACGCUGCUAGUAAGGUGAGGGUUGGCAACGAGUACAAUGAAGAAUUCAGGGUAGAGGUUGGGGUCCACCAAGGUUCAGUCCUCAGUCCCCUCCUGUUUAUCAUAGUCCUCCAGGCAAUAACGGAGGAAUUCAAGACAGGAUGCCCCUGGGAGCUCCUCUAUGCUGAUGACCUUGCUCUAAUUGCUGAGUCACUAUCAGAACUGGAGGAGAAGUUUCAUGUGUGGAAGCAAGGUUUAGAAUCGAAGGGCCUUAGAGUCAAUCUAGCUAAAACCAAAGUCGUAAUAAGUAGGAAGGUAGACAAAUCACAAACGCCUUCAGGUAGAUGGCCCUGCUCGAUCUGUAGAAAAGGUGUAGGUAGAAACUCUAUAAGAUGCACCAAGUGUAAGCUAUGGACACAUAAGAGGUGCAGCAAUGUCAAAGGAAGGCUAACUAGGAAGAUGGUUUUUGUAUGUGGCAGAUGCUCGGGAGCAGUAACCUCUGAAAUUCUG